CCAAUAGCGUAUAUUAAAGUUGUUGCAGUUAAAAAGCUCGUAGUUGAAUUUCGGGAUCAAUAUAUCGGUCGUGCCUCCGGUACGUACUGGUAUCGUUGAUUUCUACCUUCUGACGAACCAUGAUGUCAUUAAUUUGGUGUCAUGGGAAAUCAGGACUGUUACUUUGAAAAAAUUAGAGUGUUUAAAGCAGGCAUACGCUUGAAUACAUUAGCAUGGAAUAAUGAAAUAGGACGUUUGAUCCUAUUUUGUUGGUUUCUAGGAUCGACGUAAUGAUUAAUAGGGAUAGUUGGGGGCAUUAGUAUUCAAUUGUCAGAGGUGAGAUUCUUGGAUUUAUUGAAGACUAACUACUGCGAAAGCAUUUGCCAAGGAUGUUUUCAUUAAUCAAGAACGAAAGUUAGGGGAUCGAAGACGAUCAGAUACCGUCGUAGUCUUAACCAUAAACUAUGCCGACUAGGGAUCGGAUGAUGUUAAUUUUUUAAUGACUCAUUCGGCGCCUUACG
rnacentral:rRNA from 1 species